AGGUGAGCAGGUGGGUGUCGCGGAGUCAGGGGACUGUGACGGGGAGGGAAGUCUGAGGACUUCUGGUGGGCGGAUGCAGAGGAGGACAGGAAACGGGGCCGAGACGGCAAUAGUGCCAGAUGAUUGACUGAGGCUUUUAGGUGGUGUUUACAGCAGUGAAUGAGCCGCCUCCGACCGUACAACCGCCUCCCGUGUGGUCAAACGGCUCAUUGUUAAUCACAGCAAUAAGAUAAGCAUAAUUGGAUAUCUGACUUCCCGCAGAGUCUUCCAGCGGCUGGCGGGCGGCCCACUGAGAAGGGAAAUAGAAGAAGAAUAAAAGCAGAAUGAAAAUGCUCCUUUGCACAAAGCCGGCUCCACACAGAAGCGCUUUUCCCAAUUCUGUGGAAGAUCUUGACUGGUGUGCACGGAGCCCUGGACCUCAGGCCCAUCCGGCACAUUUGGGAUGAACUGGAACACCGACACUCAGCCUAGACCUCAUCACUCAACAUCAGAGUUGGGCCUAACUAAUGCUCUUGUGUGUGAAUGGGAGCAAAACCCUGCUGCAGGUUCAACAUCUGGUGGGAAGACUGCAACCAGAAGACCAGAGGCUGGAAGCGAAGGGAAAAUGACACCUACUCUUUCCCUUCUCGGCCACUUGUUGCAGGCAGCACCUGAAUGCCUCACCUGCUCCAGAAACGCAAACUGAUGUCGACGACUCCUCUCCCGUGUAAACCGUGUCCGUUUGACCGCUCGUUGAGCGGUGGAGCAUCGUGCUGCCGCCACUGAUGGCCUUCCGUCUUCACCUGGGCGUGUUGGCCGUGUGUUAAAUACAGUAAUAAUGUAGAGAAAAUCAUCAAGGUGGUUUUCUCAAAGAUCCUUCAGAGCCAUAAAAAUGACAUUGUACAAUAGUUACUAAGUCCUGCUCCUUGUGAGGAACAAACUAGCUAAAAAUGAGUAGCCUGUCCCUGGAAAGCUAACAUCUGAUUUACUGCUCUGAUCUAAUUUGUCUUUUUUUUUUUGUCUUUCUUUCUAAUAUCUGACUGCAGUGUGAACUAGUGCUGGCUCCAUUUGAAGGUUUUUGAUACAGUUUGAUUUUUGACUUUCAGGACCAAAUUGAUAACUUUAUCGAUACCUAAAUGUUUUUUAUUUCUACAAGACACUUUAUUCAUUUAACAAAUAAAACCAAACUUAUAUUUAGUCCAUCAAAUAAUAACUUUGUGUUUCCAGUGUCCACGGGAAACAUUAUGUAGUUUAGAGCUGUUUUACAAGCUUUUUAAAAAAUAUGUUACAUUCAUCAUCUAGAUUAUGUUAUUUCUAGAUGUUGCAGCAGGUACAUUGUGAAUGUACUUUGCCCAGUUUAAUUACUAUAAUUCUACACAAGGUCUUGUAUUUAUAUUUCUAAUGUAUACUAGAGGACACCCACAUUAAGAAAGUACAGUAUGAUGUAUAAACAUAUUGAAAAAAAGAAAAAAGAAAAUGCUGUUGCAAUGAGCACUGUGGACUGGGGCCAGAAUCACUCAAUGGUGAACUACUACAGACAUUUAUUUUAUUAUACUGCAGUGAUUCAGUAGCGGAAUUAGUUUUACUCUUUAUGUACAACUGUUGUAAUAGGUUUACAAUUUAGGAUCGU